rnacentral:rRNA from 1 species
GACGAACGCUGGCGGCGUGCUUAACACAUGCAAGUCGAACGGAAAGGCCCUGCUUUUGUGGGGUGCUCGAGUGGCGAACGGGUGAGUAACACGUGAGUAACCUGCCCUUGACUUUGGGAUAACUUCAGGAAACUGGGGCUAAUACCGGAUAGGAGCUCCUGCUGCAUGGUGGGGGUUGGAAAGUUUCGGCGGUUGGGGAUGGACCCGCGGCUUAUCAGCUUGUUGGUGGGGUAGUGGCUUACCAAGGCUUUGACGGGUAGCCGGCCUGAGAGGGUGACCGGCCACAUUGGGACUGAGAUACGGCCCAGACUCCUACGGGAGGCAGCAGUGGGGAAUAUUGCACAAUGGGCGGAAGCCUGAUGCAGCAACGCCGCGUGCGGGAUGACGGCCUUCGGGUUGUAACCCGCUUUCGCCUGUGACGAAGCGUGAGUGACGGUAAUGGGUAAAGAAGCACCGGCUAACUACGUG